rnacentral:rRNA from 1 species
CGUAGGAGGCAAGCGUUAUCCGGAGUUACUGGGCGUAAAGCGCGUGUAGGUGGAUUGGUAAGUUACCUAUAAAAGCUCCUGGCUAAACUAGGAGAGGUUGAGUGAUACUGCCAGUCUUGAAUAGAGGAGAGGUUGACGGAAUUCCGCGUGUAGUGGUGAAAUGCGUAGAGAUGCGGAAGAACACCAGUGGCGAAGGCGGUCAACUGGCCUCAUAUUGACACUCAGACGCGAAAGCAUGGGUAGCGAACGGGAUUAGAAACCCCGGUAGUCCAUGCCAUAAACGAUGCAUACUGAAUGUUCGUUGUCCUACGGGGCAAUGAGUGUUGAAGCUAACGCGUUAAGUAUGCCGCCUGGGGAGUACGGUCGCAAGGCUA